rnacentral:tRNA from 1 species
AGCGGGGUAGAACAGCUUGGAGUGUUCGCCGGGCCCAUAACCCGGAGGUCAGAGGUUCAAAUCCUCUCCCCGCUA